UCAACUCAAGGCUAACCUAUUACAACCUUCCAAAACUAGGCUGCCGAGGAGUACAACAAAAGAAAGAAGGUUUCCCUAAGAACCCUUAAACUACCACUGGACACUAUGAGUCGGAGAAGGGGCGCCAUCUUCUUCUAUGUCCAUGCUGGACGCUCCUUCGUCUUCCUCAGGGUCCUCCUGAGCUUCAAGUUGCAUGUUGAGGGCAUGCAUGUCUUCAAGCUCAGCUUGGUGUUCC
rnacentral:lncRNA from 1 species